AUCGACGAAAAGAUGGGAGCUUGCUCCCUGAUCUUAGCGGCGGACGGGUGAGUACCACGUGGGCAACCUGCCCUGCAGACUGGGAUAACUCCGGGAAACCGGAGCUAAUACCGGGUAAUACAUCGCACCGCAUGGUGCAAUGUUGAAAGUUGGCUUUCGAGCUAACACUGCAGGAUGGGCCCGCGGCGCAUUAGCUAGUUGGUAAGGUAAUGGCUUACCAAGGCGACGAUGCGUAGCCGACCUGAGAGGGUGAUCGGCCACACUGGGACUGAGACACGGCCCAGACUCCUACGGGAGGCAGCAGUAGGGAAUCUUCCGCAAUGGACGAAAGUCUGACGGAGCAACGCCGCGUGAGUGACGAAGGCCUUCGGGUCGUAAAGCUCUGUUGUUAGGGAAGAACAAGUACCGUUCGAAUAGGGCGGUACCUUGACGGUACCUAACCAGAAAGCCACGGCUAACUACGUGCCAGCAGCCGCGGUAAUACGUAGGUGGCAAGCGUUGUCCGGAAUUAUUGGGCGUAAAGCGCGCGCAGGCGGUCUUUUAAGUCUGAUGUGAAAGCCCACGGCUCAACCGUGGAGGGUCAUUGGAAACUGGAGGACUUGAGUGCAGAAGAGGAGAGUGGAAUUCCACGUGUAGCGGUGAAAUGCGUAGAUAUGUGGAGGAACACCAGUGGCGAAGGCGGCUCUCUGGUCUGUAACUGACGCUGAGGCGCGAAAGCGUGGGGAGCAAACAGGAUUAGAUACCCUGGUAGUCCACGCCGUAAACGAUGAGUGCUAGGUGUUGGGGGGUUCCACCCUCAGUGCUGAAGUUAACACAUUAAGCACUCCGCCUGGGGAGUACGACCGCAAGGUUGAAACUCAAAGGAAUUGACGGGGGCCCGCACAAGCAGUGGAGCAUGUGGUUUAAUUCGAAGCAACGCGAAGAACCUUACCAGGUCUUGACAUCCUCUGACAAUCCUGGAGACAGGACGUUCCCCUUCGGGGGACAGAGUGACAGGUGGUGCAUGGUUGUCGUCAGCUCCUGUCGUGAAAGUAG
rnacentral:rRNA from 1 species